rnacentral:rRNA from 1 species
CCUACGGGGGGCAGCAGUGAGGAAUAUUGGUCAAUGGACGAGAGUCUGAACCAGCCAAGUAGCGUGAAGGAUGACUGCCCUAUGGGUUGUAAACUUCUUUUAUAUGGGAAUAAAAUGUUCCACGUGUGGGAUUUUGUAUGUACCAUAUGAAUAAGGAUCGGCUAACUCCGUGCCAGCAGCCGCGGUAAUACGGAGGAUCCGAGCGUUAUCCGGAGUUAUUGGGUUUAAAGGGAGCGUAGGUGGUUUGUUAAGUCAGUUGUUAAAGUUUGCGGCUCAACCGUAACAUUGCAGUUGAAACUGGCAGUCUUGAGUACAGGAGAGGUGUGCGGAAUGCGUGGUGUAGCGGUGAAAUGCUUAGAUAUCACGAAGAACUCCGAUUGCGAAGGCAGCCUACUAAACUGCCACUGACAUUGAGGCUGGAAAGUGUGGGUAUCAAACAGGAUUAGAUACCCCAGUAGUC